CGGCGCACGGGUGCGUAACGCGUAUACAAUCUGCCUUUCACAUAGGGAUAGCCCGAAGAAAUUUGGAUUAAUACCUAAUGGUAUAUAAGAGCGGCAUCGUUUUUAUAUUAAAGCUACGGUGGUGAAAGAUGAGUAUGCGUUCUAUUAGCUAGUUGGAGAGGUAACGGCUCCCCAAGGCGACGAUAGAUAGGGGUUCUGAGAGGGAUGUCCCCCACACUGGUACUGAGAUACGGACCAGACUCCUACGGGAGGCAGCAGUGAGGAAUAUUGGACAAUGGUCGGAAGACUGAUCCAGCCAUGCCGCGUGCAGGAUGAAGGUCCUAUGGAUUGUAAACUGCUUUUGUAAGGGAAGAAUAAGGGGUACGUGUACUUUGAUGACGGUACCUUACGAAUAAGCAUCGGCUAACUCCGUGCCAGCAGCCGCGGUAAUACGGAGGAUGCGAGCGUUAUCCGGAAUCAUUGGGUUUAAAGGGUCCGUAGGCGGGCUGAUAAGUCAGAGGUGAAAGCGCUUAGCUCAACUAAGCAACUGCCUUUGAAACUGUCAGUCUUGAAUGAUUGUGAAGUAGUUGGAAUGUGUAGUGUAGCGGUGAAAUGCUUAGAUAUUACACAGAACACCGAUAGCGAAGGCAUAUUACUAACAAUUUAUUGACGCUGAUGGACGAAAGCGUGGGGAGCGAACAGGAUUAGAUACCCUGGUAGUCCACGCUGUAAACGAUGGAUACUAGCUGUUUGGAGCAAUCUGAGUGGCUAAGCGAAAGUGAUAAGUAUCCCGCCU
rnacentral:rRNA from 1 species